ACAAGGGAAUUGAGUGGCAACACGAGAGAGAGUCAAGAUACAGAUGUUAACUAAACUGAAUAUUCUUAGGCUGAAAAAAUGGAUCUGAGACUGAGAGCGAGUGGAUCCACAUGGAGAUCAAAAUCCAAAUCAGAAGCCAAGGAAUCUUGCGAACAAAGAUAAGCAGAGAUGCGAGAGACGUGACCAACAGAUUCUCCAACAAAAGUCAAAGAGAUCAGAUAGUUACGCAGAAGAGGACAUGUCCAUGAAGCUAUACUAGAGAAGAUAUGUGGAAAAAUAUCAAGGAAAUCAGAAUUAAAAGAAGCGAAACUAAAGGCUGGCUAGUAGAGGAAAUCUAUGCACUAUCUAAACAGGUUAAAACAAAAGAAAACAUCAAGGUUAGAGUUUUCACCAAGAGCAUCUGAAUAAUGCAGAGUUAGAGCUAUUGCAGACGGAGAGCUCAAACUUUUGAUUGAAGCAGCAGAUGGAGGAAAGAGAACGGAAGGCUUUGCAGUAUUGAAAUAAUUGACCGAUCCUCAAAAUGAUUUUAGAGAUGCAGUGGUUGAGAUGAUCAUGGAGAAUGGUGUCAACCACCCAGAAGAACUCAAAACAUGUUCACAGUUGUUAUAUCAGUCCAAGAGAAACAAGAUCCAGCGAAAGUUUAUUAUUAUCAAAAGAACAUUUUAGGAUAAUCAUCAGCUUACGCUCAAAUCAUGGAUAUUGGUUAAAAUGGUGUAAAGCUUAUAUGAUUUUUUCUAACAUCAGUAAAAUUAAUUAAAUAACUUGAUUGUAUGAGUCGAACCUUUCUUACGAUUUCACAAUAUCUCA